AGUUCCGGGGUACAGGUGCAGGAUGUGCAGGUUUGUUACAUAGGUAAAUGUGUGCCAUGGUGGUUUGCUGCACCUAUCCACCCAUCACCUAGGUAUCAAGCCCAGCAUGCAUUAGCUAUUUUUCCUAAUGUUCUCCCCAUUCUCCUCACCCCUUGACAGGCCCAGUGUGUGUUGUUCCCCUAAAAGAGACAAUGGAAGAUAAUUAUACC
rnacentral:lncRNA from 1 species